rnacentral:rRNA from 1 species
UACGUAGGGGGCAAGCGUUGUCCGGAUUUAUUGGGCGUAAAGAGCGUGUAGGCGGCCAGGUAGGUCUGCUGUGAAAACUCGAGGCUUAACCUCGAGCUGUCGGCGGAAACCAUCUGGCUAGAGUCCGGAAGAGGAGAAUGGAAUUCCCGGUGUAGCGGUGAAAUGCGCAGGUAUCGGGAAGAACACCCGUGGCGAAGGCGGCUCUCUGGGACGGUACUGACGCGUGAGACGCGAAAGCGUGGGAGCGAACGAGG